UUACGUUUCCCCCUAUUCUAGCUUUGUGACAUAUCUUUGUGACACCACAGAAUUAUCUGAAUAUUUUGGUGUGGUCUACGCCUGUGAGAGAGGGCCAGAGAGGCUAUGUGUGUGUUCAUGUUUCUCGUCAUUUUAAUUCUUUAACUUAAUCUUAGCUGCUUCUAAUGUUUUCCUUUUUCUUUCAGCUCCUGACUACCCCUGAAKCAUGCAGGACGUAUUUGCAUUAGAUUGAGUAAAAUCUUCUCCAAAAGAGAAAGUACUUCAGCAAAGUUGACUGCAAUGUUCUUAUUGUUGCUGUUUGUCAAGACACAGGUUUAGAAAGUUCACUAACUGUAUCUUUAUCUUUGUAAUUCAUGGUGUCUGUGAAAAAUUAAAAUUAAUCCUUGAAAAGUC